rnacentral:lncRNA from 1 species
AUCAUUCAUUAUCUUUACAAUUAACCAUCUAAAGCUACCACAGUUCUUCAAUCAAAGUAUAUAUCUACAUAUAUAGAGAGAGUACACUUCAUAAUUUCGUCCUUUGUCUUCUGUAAACGUAGCAAUAAAAUUUGAUACCCAGUAUUGUAAGGCAGGUCGUAGAAGCAGUCUUCCUACACAUUUAAAAAUAAUAGCAAGUCAAAAAAAUGAAACAAAUAGGUCACCAAAGACACUUAGUGCCAAAAUCAAUACACAAAGACAAUAGAGUUGCUACGUAGUACAAUGUCAAGGCUUGACUCCUAUUUCAUAAUACUUUAGAAUACAAAACAUUUCAACUUUCUUUUUUUAAUUUGAUGAUUGUGGAACCCACAGCCACUACCCCGUAGGGUGUGGAGUCUGUAGACUAGAUAAACAACCGGCCAAUCUAAUCAUAGCCUACUACCUCAAGAGAAUUGUGCAUUUUCUCAUUUCCAACAUGUAAAAGAAUCAAGAACAAGAAAAAAGGAUAGAGCUUUUUCUAACCAGGCCUAUUUCUCUUGUGAGUAGCUUUGCCAUCUGACCUCAAAGCACCACUUGACUCUCCUUCAGAUGAAGCUUCCAUGGAUUUGCCAAAAUUACUAGAAAGAUCAGAAUAAACAUCAACCACCCUCCUUAUG